GAACGCUGGCGGCGUGGAUAAGACAUGCAAGUCGAACGGGAUAUUGUUUGUGGCAAUACAAGCGAUGUCUAGUGGCGUAAGGGUGCGUAACACGUGGGGAAUCUGCCGAGAAGUGGGGGAUAGCUCGCCGAAAGGCGAAUUAAUACCGCAUGUGGUUAGGGGAGGCAUCUUCCCGAUACUAAAGCCGGGGCAACCUGGCGCUUCUUGAUGACCCCGCGGCCUAUCAGCUAGUUGGUGAGGUAACGGCUCACCAAGGCUAUGACGGGUAGCUGGUCUGAGAGGACGACCAGCCACACUGGAACUGAGACACGGUCCAGACACCUACGGGUGGCAGCAGUCGAGAAUUUUUCUCAAUGGGGGAAACCCUGAAGGAGCGACGCCGCGUGGAGGAUGAAGGUCUUCGGAUUGUAAACUCCUGUCAUUUGGGAACAAUUGCUUCACAUUAACUGUGUGGAGUUUGAUAGUACCAGAAGAGGAAGAGACGGCUAACUCUGUGCCAGCAGCCGCGGUAAUACAGAGGUCUCAAGCGUUGUUCGGAUUCAUUGGGCGUAAAGGGUGCGUAGGUGGCGGGGCAAGUCAGGUGUGAAAUCUCGGGGCUCAACUCCGAAACUGCACUUGAUACUGCCUUGCUCGAGUACUGGAGAGGAGAUGGAAUUUACGGUGUAGCAGUGAAAUGCGUAGAUAUCGUAAGAAGACAAGUGGCGAAGCGAUCUCUGGACAGUUACUGACACUGAGCAC
rnacentral:rRNA from 1 species